CCCGUGCGCUACAUGCAGUCGAGCGGAUGAAGGGAGCUUGCUCCUGGAUUCAGCGGCGGACGGGUCAUUAAUGCCUAGGAAUCUGCCUGGUAGUGGGGGAUAACGUCCGGAAACGGGCGCUAAUACCGCAUACGUCCUGAGGGAGAAAGUGGGGGAUCUUCGGACCUCACGCUAUCAGAUGAGCCUAGGUCGGAUUAGCUAGUUGGUGGGGUAAAGGCCUACCAAGGCGACGAUCCGUAACUGGUCUGAGAGGAUGAUCAGUCACACUGGAACUGAGACACGGUCCAGACUCCUACGGGAGGCAGCAGUGGGGAAUAUUGGACAAUGGGCGAAAGCCUGAUCCAGCCAUGCCGCGUGUGUGAAGAAGGUCUUCGGAUUGUAAAGCACUUUAAGUUGGGAGGAAGGGCAGUAAGUUAAUACCUUGCUGUUUUGACGUUACCAACAGAAUAAGCACCGGCUAACUUCGUGCCAGCAGCCGCGGUAAUACGAAGGGUGCAAGCGUUAAUCGGAAUUACUGGGCGUAAAGCGCGCGUAGGUGGUUCAGCAAGUUGGAUGUGAAAUCCCCGGGCUCAACCUGGGAACUGCAUCCAAAACUACUG
rnacentral:rRNA from 1 species